UUCCAGUAAAAUUAUACAAAAACAGAAUCAAUGAUGCCUAUCACCCACUAUUCAACAUCAUUCUUAAGUCUUGUUGCUAUAAUAAAUUAAGAAAAAGAAGUGGCCAUAAGCAGUAGAAAGGAGGAUAAAAUUUAUUAUUUGCAAAAGAUGGCACUGUAAAGUUAGAAAAUCUAAGAACUGUAAAUGAAUUAGAGAAUGAAAAAAGGUCAGUAAAUAUAAGAUAAAUAUAUGUGCAUGUAUGACGCACAUCCAUAUACAUGUAAUGAAUAUUUUACAUUAAACUAUGUAAUGGGAAAAAAGCAUAUUCAAUAACAAAAACUACAAAAUACAUGGCAAUACAUUUUAUAUGUUUAAGAUGUCUAUAAAAAAAAAUGAAAGCCCUGAAUAAUGAACCAACAUUUUAAGUUUUAAUAAUACUGUAAUGAUACAAUUCAUCCCAAAUUUAUCUACAUUUUUAGUACUGUUUGAAACAACAUUCCCAUGGAUAUAUUUUAAAACCCAAUAAAAUUAUUCUAAAAUGUAUCUAUAAUAAUAAUUGUUCUAAAAAAAGGAACGACGUGAGUAUAUUUGAGUUAUUUGUUAAUAUCAUCAAAAGGUAUAAACUAGAGUGCUCCCAGUCAGGUGGUACCGAGAUGGGAAUAGACGGCCAAAAAAGAAGAGCCCAGAAAGAGACCAAGGCACACCUGGGAGUCUCUAUGUAUGACAAAGGCAGCAUUUCAAAUCACUGGAGAAAUGUUACAUAAUACAAUUAACUCUCUCAGAAAAAUUAAAUCACUACCUCACAUUAUAAAAAAAAAAAAUUUCAGACAGAAUAAAAACGUGAGCAUGGUAUGAGAGCAGAAGAAAAAACUAACUUAUCAGUUACAAAAUACUAAAAUAAAACAAGAAAACAUAUUGAUAAUACCCAGCAUGAGCAAAACUGUGGGAAACACACACUGUUAUAUUGUUGGUAUGAGUGUAUAUUGUACGACGUUUAUAUUUUAGACUCAGAAAACUUACAUUUACGUAUUUAUUUUGUGCAUAUAAUUAUAGAAAUGUGCAAACACAUACUCAUGCUCAUGCUAUCUUUUGUAAUGGAGAAGAAUUAAGAACAACUUAAAUGCACAUGAAAUAAGGCAUCAAUUAAAUAUGGUAUCACACUUUCAAAACAUGGGCUAUUACACAGCAAUGAUAAACAAUUAGGUAGGGCAACAGCAACAGUAAUGAUGAUAGGUAACAUUAAGAUGCACAUAUGUGGAGCUCGGCACCCGUAGCUCAGUAGUUAGGGGGCCAGCCACAUGCACUGGGGCUGGCAAGUUCAAACCCGGCCAGGGCCUGAUAAACAACAAGGACAACAACAACAACAACAAAAAAAAAAGCCGGGCGUUGUGACGGAUGCCUGUAGUCCCAGCUACUUGGGAGGCUGAAGCAAGAGAAUCACUUAAGCCCAAGAGUUUGAGAUUACUAUGAGUUGUGACGCCAUGGCACUCUACCAAGGGUGACAUAGUGAGACUCUAACCCCCCAAAAAAGCAUAUGUAUGUAUCAAGGGUCCUUUGAUAUGAUACAAAAUUCCCCUGGGUAUAUUUUUCACAUUAGAAUUGACAAAAAUAGAGGCACAGAAAACUUAAGUAACUUGUCUAGAGCCCAUAGCUGGUAAUUGGCAAAGCAUGAAUUGGAAGCUAGACAGUCUAGCUCGGCAUCCACGCUUUUACCGACCAUGUUACAUUGCAUCUCAAAACACAGUAUCCAUGGUGCAAAACAAAAUGACCACCACAAUAAAAAUGAAACAAACAAACACAAAAAAUGAAAAUUACAUGUUGUGAAUGACUACAGCAUAUUUUACUGCAUGGUAUGAUUUAAUUAGUACAAAUUACUAAGAGUAGAGGACUGGUUCUCAAAGUUAUACAACGCACGGGUAGUAUCAGAAAGCAUUGCUAGUUUUCCAUUCAGAUUGCUAGUAGAGGGACCACAGCAAGCACUUGAGUCAAGCAAAUCUAACUGAACAAGAUCACUUGAAACCAACUCAAAACUACAAGUAAAAAAUUUAACUCAUUCCGAUUUCUCCAUGUUGGACCCAAACUGAGGAGCCCCGAGCUGCCGCCGGGGGAUCGGGGCCCGGGGCACCCGGGGGAGCCGCAGCCCAGGCUGCCCGCCCUCCGCACAGGCCGCCUCCCUUCCCGGCCCCGGGAGGAAACAAGAAGGGGGAUGUGAACAGCUGUGGGAGUCGGAGUCUCCGGAGCCAGAGCCGGAGCGGGCCCCCGCCCAGGCCCCCCAGCCCAGCCUAGCCUGCGCGCCCGCCCGUUCUCCCACCCUCCCGCCCAGCCAGCCCGGGCCCGCCAGAUUGUUAGAUGGAACAAGGCUCCAUCAUCACCCAGGCGCGGAGGGAAGACGCCCUGGUGCUCACCAAGCAAGGCCUGGUCUGCAAGUCCUCUCCUAAGAAGCCUCGUGGACGUAACAUCUUCAAGGCCCUUUUCUGCUGUUUUCGCGCCCAGCAUGUUGCAGUCAAGCUCCUGCACUGAGCUUGCUGCAUAUAAGGAGGAAGCCAGCACUAUUGCUAAGUCGGAUCUGCUCCAUUGUCUCCAGUACCAGUUUUAUCAGAUCCCAGGGACCUGCCUGCUCCCAGAGGUGACAGAGGAAGAUCAAGGAAGGAUCUGUGUGGUUAUUGACCUGGAUGAAACCCUUGUGCAUAGCUCCUUUAAGUCGAUCAACAAUGCCGACUUCAUAGUGCCUGUCGAGAUAGAGGGGACCACUCACUAGGUGUACAUGCUCAAGAGGCCUUAUGUGGAUGAGUUCCUGAGGCUCAUGGGGGAGCUCUUCGAAUGUGUUCUCUUCACUGCCAGCCUGGCCAAGUAUGCCGACCCUGUGACCGCUGUGGUGUGUUCCGGGCAGUCUUUUCCAGGAGUCCUGUGUGUUUCAUCAGGGCUGCUAUGUCAAGGACCUCAGCCGCUUAGGGAGGGACCUGAGGAAAACCCUCAUCCUGGACAACUCGCCUGCUUCUUAUAUCUUCCACCCAGAGAAUGCCGUGCCCGUGCAGUCCUGGUUUGAUGACAUAGCAGACACAGAGUUGCUGAACCUGAUCCCAAUCUUUGAGGAGUUGAGCGGAGCAGAGGACGUCUACACCAGCCUCGGGCAGCUGCGGGCCCCUUAGCCCUCCCUGCUUCCGAGCAAUGGCCAUCCCAGUAGGGGACGUUGCUAUACUGUGCCUUUAUGAUCAGCCCAACAGAGUGGAAGCUGGAGCACCUUGCCAAACAAGGCCUGGAGAUAGUGAGGAACGAUUGGAAUGAGCUUUAGGAGAGGUUAGAUGCUGAAUGGCAAAUACCAGACCAACAAAACCAACGAAAACCAGAGCCACCUGCUCCCUGAGUCGGGUCCCCAAGACGUGUGUGAGUGUGAGAGUGUGUUGCUGUGAGCCGUGGCCCCAGCAUGUACAGUGUUUCCCGUGGGGGUGAAGCUGAAAGAUCAAGACUUCCCAAGUUAGUUGUCUCCUCUCCUGUCACCCCGAGAGCCACUGAGCUCUAUAGGGAUGAAGACUAUUGAAGGCUUUAGUGCCAAACCAUGGCCUUUCCUCAGUAUUUUAAGGCGUAUGCCAAGGAGAAAGGAAGGGUCAGAGGCUGCCUUUGGAUGCCCCAUGAACACACCUUUCUGAAAUCUUUUUCCAGCCAACUGCUGCAGACAAAAAGAUGACAUUCUGGGAAGAUGAGAAUUUGUUUCCAGACCAGAUCCCCCAGUGGCCAUUAGGUCCUGUGGCCCAAGGGCUGCGCUUGCCUCCAGCCAAGUGCCUGGCCUGGGUCCUUUCUGUGUCUCCCCAAGGCUUGGGUGCUGGGCCUGCCUUCCUUACCACCUAGCCAUAGUCUUGAACCUGUGGGGAAGGAGGUCUUCUCCCUGCCCUGGAAGAGGACAGAUGCCUGAUUUCUGUUCUUUUGACUGUUUUAAAAUUCUCUUUCUAAA